UACGUAGGGUGCGAGCGUUGUCCGGAAUUAUUGGGCGUAAAGAGCUCGUAGGCGGUCUGUCGCGUCGAUCGUGAAAACUUGGGGCUUAACCCUGAGCUUGCGGUCGAUACGGGCAUGACUGGAGUUCGGCAGGGGAGACUGGAAUUCCUGGUGUAGCGGUGAAAUGCGCAGAUAUCAGGAGGAACACCGGUGGCGAAGGCGGGUCUCUGGGCCGAUAUUGACGCUGGAGGAGCGAAAGCGUGGGGAGCGAACAGG
rnacentral:rRNA from 1 species